AACCUCAUCGACUGGAAGGGAUUCCUUCCUGUCGAUGAGGUACAGCUUCCUCAUUGAUUGGAAGGGAUUCCUUCCAGUCGAUGAGGAG
rnacentral:miRNA from 1 species